UGGAGAAUGAAGGCAGUGAGGAUAUUGUUACCAUGGUAACAGCUGACCCUAUUGUCACAGAUGUGCGCUAUACUUUCAUAAAGCCAUACCCACCUUUCAAAAUUGGCCAAGGUAAAGAACCACCUGACAUUUUUAUGUAAUUUUAUGUAAUUUAUGUCUGUGCAAAGGAUAUUAUGCAUAUUUACACUACAUGUUUAUACAAUACAUAUUACUAAACUAACCUGCAAGGGUAUACCUUUGCUUUGCUGUAGAGGACGGCAUCAUCAAAACUAACUAUAAUCUGGACCUUGAGUCAGACCGGACCCUGGAGAAGAAUGUUCUGUUGGUGCGGGCCUUCAGCAUGUCAGAGGACCGCAGUGGAACCGCCACAGUCACGGUCUAUGUGCAGGACGUCAACGAAUACGCGCCUCUCUGCGAUCCCCCUGUGAUUGUUUUAACUGUUCCUGAGACUACUGAAGUUGGAGGGAAUCUGGGCCGGGUCCGUUGCUAUGACGUGGACGUCAGUAACCAGAACGUGACGCUCACACUCGUAGAGAACAGCCUCUCACUCUUCAAGUUCCGCCUUCAAGAUGGCCAGCUACAGGUGAAUAACAGCCUGGACUAUGAUGUUGCAGAUGUCACAAAUUUCCAGUAUGAAGCCACCAUCCUGGCCACAGACUCUGGGACUCCUCCCCUUACAAGUCUGUUGUCUGCUUUAGUUCUCCAUAGUGAUACAGUAGUACAAGAGUGUAUAAAUUGAAUAAAUAUCUGAC
rnacentral:lncRNA from 1 species